CCUCCAGUACCCAUUAUUCUUUAGGGCUAUUUUGAUUCUCCCAGCCUCCUGGCUUCGUGUCUUGGACCAGGAUGCUAACAUCCAUCUCUCAGUGGCUGCCCUGCCACCAAGAGCCCAGAUAUGACACACCUGGGAAAUGCUUUCCUCUAACAUCUGGAGCUGCUGGUUUGGAAGCGAGAUAGAGACAGCUAAAAAGUGCUAAUUCAAGCUGGGUGUGGUGAUGUACACUUAUAAUCCUAGCACACAGAAGACUGAGG